rnacentral:rRNA from 1 species
UACGUAGGGGGCAAGCGUUAUCCGGAUUUACUGGGUGUAAAGGGAGCGUAGACGGCCUUGCAAGUCUGGUGUGAAAGUCCGGGGCUCAACCCCGGGACUGCAUUGGAAACUGCAUGGCUGGAGUGCAGGAGAGGUAAGCGGAAUUCCUAGUGUAGCGGUGAAAUGCGUAGAUAUUAGGAGGAACACCAGUGGCGAAGGCGGCUUACUGGACUGUAACUGACGUUGAGGCUCGAAAGCGUGGGGAGCAAACAGG